rnacentral:rRNA from 1 species
UACAGAGGUCUCAAGCGUUGUUCGGAUUCAUUGGGCGUAAAGGGUGCGUAGGCGGCGCGGUAAGUCGGGUGUGAAAUCUCGGAGCUUAACUCCGAAACUGCAUUCGAUACUGCCGUGCUUUGAGGACUGGAGAGGAGACUGGAAUUUACGGUGUAGCGGUGAAAUGCGUAGAUAUCGUAAGGAAGACCAGUGGCGAAGGCGGCUCACUGG